rnacentral:rRNA from 1 species
UGUUUUUACUGGGACUUAAUUGGCCCUUUAAACUUUAUACAACUUUCAGCAACGGAACUCUUGGCUCUCGCAUCGAUGAAAAAACGCAGCGAAAUGCGAUAAGUAAUGUGAAUUUGCAAAAUUCAGUGAAUCAUCGAAUCUUUGAACGCACCUUUGCCCCCCUUUUGGUAUUCCGAAGGGCAUGCCUGUUUGAGUGUCAUUAAAUUUCUCAACUUCAAAGGCUUUUGUCUUUUUGAAGCUUGGAUGUGAAGGCUGCUGGCGUUUUAAAUGUUCAGCUCCUUUUGAAAUGCAUUACUGGACCCAUUUGUGUUCAGCCUUAUUGUGAUAAUUAUCUACGCUAUGGUUUUUGAAUACUGGCUCAUUAGAUCUUCGAGGUGUUUUAUACAUUCUCGGUGUUGGGGGAGUUGCAUGAACUUUGCUCUCUCUGUCUAUUUGAGUUUGGCUUUGUCUGCUUUUCUAACUGUCUACUUUUGUGGGACAAUUUUUGAACCAUUUGACCUCAAAUCACGUAGGACUACCCGCUGAGCUUAAGCAUAUCAAUAAGCGGGAGGA